rnacentral:misc_RNA from 1 species
GAUGAAGAACGCAGCGAAAUGCGAUACGUAAUGUGAAUUGCAGAAUUCAGUGAAUCAUCGAAUCUUUGAACGCAUAUUGCGCUCUCUGGUAUUCCGGAGAGCAUGCUUGUUUGAGUAUCAGUAAACACCUCAACUUCCAUAUCUUUUUUGAAAUGGGAGUUGGACUUGAGUGAUCCCAACGCUUUUCCUCACCGAAAAGUGGCGGGUUACUUGAAAUGCAGGUGCAGCUGGACUUUUCUCUGAGCUAUAAGCAUAUCUAUUUAGUCUGCCUAAAAAACAGAUUAUUACCUUUGCUGCAGCUAACAUAAAGGAGAUUAGUUCUUGUGCUGACUGAUGCAGGAUUCACAAAGACGGCUUCGGCCGACUUUGUAAACUCGAUCUCAAAUCAAGUAAGACUACCCGCUGAACUUAAGCAUAUCAAAAGCGGGGA